UACGAAGGGUGCAAGCGUUACUCGGAAUUACUGGGCGUAAAGCGUGCGUAGGUGGUUUGUUAAGUCUGUUGUGAAAGCCCCGGCUCAACCUGGGAAUGGCAAUGGAUACUGGCAGGCUAGAGUGCGGUAGAGGGUAGUGGAAUUCCCGGUGUAGCGGUGAAAUGCGUAGAGAUCGGGAGGAACACCAGUGGCGAAGGCGGCUACCUGGACCAGCACUGACACUGAGGCACGAAAGCGUGGGGAGCAAACAGG
rnacentral:rRNA from 1 species